rnacentral:lncRNA from 1 species
CUGGAGCCAAUUUCAAAUGGGACUUGUUUUGCAGGAAUGCAGCUCCGAUGAUCUCCAAUCUGCUCCAGCUAUAUUCGUACGCGGCAACAGAAGAUUCUCGACCGCGUACGGAUAUAGCUAGAGCAAAUCGGAGACCACCAGAACGAUGUUCCUGCAAAAUAAGUUCCGAUCGAAAUUGACUUUGACGAAGAUCUUUCAAUGAUCAGGAAUCUAACACGACA